GUCCACGCCUUAAACGAUGGAUGCUAGCCGUCAGCAAGCAUGCUUGUUGGUGGCGCAGCUAACGCAUUAAGCAUCCCGCCUGGGGAGUACGGCCGCAAGGUUAAAACUCAAAGGAAUUGACGGGGGCCCGCACAAGCGGUGGAGCAUGUGGUUUAAUUCGACGCAACGCGAAGAACCUUACCAGUCCUUGACAUUCUCCGGGCGGUUUCCAGAAAUGGAUUCCUCCUAGCAAUAGGUCGGAGAACAGGUGCUGCAUGGCUGUCGU
rnacentral:rRNA from 1 species